CCUACGGGAGACAGCAGUGAGGAAUAUUGGUCAAUGGACGAGAGUCUGAACCAGCCAAGUAGCGUGAAGGAUGACUGCCCUAUGGGUUGUAAACUUCUUUUAUAUGGGAAUAAAAUGUUCCACGUGUGGGAUUUUGUAUGUACCAUAUGAAUAAGGAUCGGCUAACUCCGUGCCAGCAGCCGCGGUAAUACGGAGGAUCCGAGCGUUAUCCGGAUUUAUUGGGUUUAAAGGGAGCGUAGGUGGAUUGUUAAGUCAGUUGUGAAAGUUUGCGGCUCAACCGUAAAAUUGCAGUUGAAACUGGCAGUCUUGAGUACAGUAGAGGUGAGCGGAAUUCGUGGUGUAGCGGUGAAAUGCUUAGAUAUCACGAAGAACUCCGAUUGCGAAGGCAGUUCACUGGACUGCAACUGACACUGAGGCUCGAAAGUGUGGGUAUCAAACAGGAUUAGAUACCCCAGUAGUC
rnacentral:rRNA from 1 species